AUGGGCAUCAGCCUCCUGUGCUGUGUGGCCUUCUGUCUUCUGCAGGCAGGUCCGGGGAAUGCUGGUGUCACUCAGGACCCAAAAUUCCGGGUCCUGAGGACAGGACAGAGCACGACCCUGAAAUGUGCCCAGGAUCUGGACCACUACUAUAUGUACUGGUACCGACAAGACCUGGGACACAGGCUGAGGCUGAUCUAUUACUCAUCUGACACUGGCACCACCAACAAAGGAGAUGUCCCCAAUGGGUACAGCGUCUCCAGAUCAAACCUCGAGAACUUCCCUCUCACGCUGGCGUCUGCCACCCCCUCCCAGACGUCUGUGUACCUCUGCGCCAGCAGUUAUUCCACGCCCCAGUACUUCGGGCCGGGCACGCGGCUCCUGGUGCUAGACGACCUGAGCAAGGUGACCCCACCCAAGGUGGCUGUGUUCGAGCCGGCAGCAGCAGAGAUCUCCCGGACCCAGAAGGCCACGCUCGUGUGCCUGGCCACAGGCUUCUACCCCGACCACGUGGAGCUGAGCUGGUGGGUGAACGGGAAGCAGGUCAAGACAGGGGUCAGCACGGACCCUGAGCCCCACAAGGAGGACCCCAGCCACAAUGACUCCAGAUACUGUCUGAGCAGCCGGCUGAGGGUCUCCGCCACCUUCUGGUACAACCCUCGCAACCUCUUCCGCUGCCAAGCCUGGUUCCACGGGGUCGCGGACGAGGACGAGUGGAAGCAGGACGGGCCCAAACCCGUCACCCAGAACGUCAGCGCCGAGGUCUGGGGCCGAGCAGACUGUGGCUUCACCUCGGUGUCCUAUCAGCAAGGGGUCCUGUCUGCCACCAUCCUCUAUGAGAUCCUGCUGGGGAAGGCCACCCUCUAUGCUGUGCUGGUCAGCGCCCUGGUGCUGAUGGCCAUGGUCAAGAGAAAGGAUUCGUGA